GGAGCAAGAUAACUACAAUUUUAAUUUUACACUAAAAAGCAUAGGCAAGCAUCUCCAACAAAAAAGUGUACUAAAAUUUAUGAUAUUAUUUGUUUACUGUAUUGAUCUAUAUAUGUGGAGCGGAACAAAUUUGUUUUAUAAUUUUUAGAUUUUUUUAUGAAUUACUACACAUUUAUCAAUUUUCAGCCGAUUUAAAGAAUAAAAGAAAAAUAAAUUGGAGAUUUUACAUUGGGAACCCUAAAUUUUUUUUGUUCUUUUUUCUCUCCACCGUACCCGUUCCAUCCCGGAUGGGCUGAUUGGGCGCACCAUGGCAGAGGCGAUCCACAGGAGACGUAACAAGAGAUUUUGCAUUGGAAACUCUAGAAAGUUUUUUAUUUUCUUUUUGCUUUAUACAAACUGGACGGAGGGAUUCGGCAAACCGGAGGCCGACCGAAAGCAGAUAGGUAUAGGAGCAGUCACGCAGACUGAAAUUUUCUCCUUUUAUAAAUAGGUAUAGAUUAAUAAUUAAUAUAUACAUUUAUUUAGAACAAUUAAUAAUUAUUUAGGACAAUUAUACAUCAUAUAAGAAAAAUAAAAAAUAAGAAAAAAAAAAUGGCCGCUGGUGGCCCGGCCCAGCUGGGCAGGCGGCCCACCGGCCCUGCCCCUCCCCCUCCUCCUCCCUCUCCCCCUCGCCCUCUCCACCGGCCGCAACGCCGCCGCCACCGCCGCCUCGGGUGAGCACCACCCGUGCGGCGGCCCCGACGCUGCUGCUCCGGUCGCCUCGCUUGACUCCCCUCGCCUCCCUGCGCCCCGCCUCGACCCC
rnacentral:lncRNA from 1 species